GUUAGAACGCUAGCGGGAUGCCUUACACAUGCAAGUCGAACGGCAGCAUAAGAGAGCUUGCUCCCGGGUGGCGAGUGGCGCACGGGUGAGUAAUACAUCGGAACGUGUCCUGGUUGUGGGGGAUAACUGACUCGAAAGGUGGCUAAUACCGCAUGAGACCUGAGGGUGAAAGCGGGGAUCGCAAGACCUCGCGACAAUUGGAGCGGCCGAUGCCCGAUUAGCUAGUUGGUGAGGUAAAGGCUCACCAAGGCGACGAUCGGUAAGCUGGUCUGAGAGGACGACCAGCCACACUGGGACUGAGACACGGCCCAG
rnacentral:rRNA from 1 species